AGAAGCUGGGUUGAGGAGCUUUUAGGCUUUGAGGACAAAGGUGGUGAUGAGCUGAGGACUGCAGGCAGCCUCUAGACACUGAAAAGGAAAGGAAUGGAUUCUCUUCUAGAGCCUCCAAAGAAACACAGCCCUGCCAGCAUCUUGACUUCAGCCCCAUAAGACCCAUUUCAGACUUCGAGCUUCUAGAACUGUAAGGCUGGAUUCCCGUGGGGUUCCAAGAUGACUACAGCAGUUCCAGUCAUCAUUCUCAGAUAUCAGAAAGCCAAGAGGAGAAAAGACCAUUAUUCAUUAUGUGCCUCCCAGCAGACAUCCCCUGUCUUGUUGACCUGCAUUUCAUCAGACAGAGAGAUGCAAAGGUCAACCUGGAAGAGUGGGCUGACAGCCCCUAGCUACAGCGUUUUGGGAUCCACUGAAGCAGCAGCAAGUUGUGGACAUACUGUCUGUGGGCAGCAUCCAGCCAAUGACUGGGAUACGAAGGUCUUGAGUAUUUCUGCUCGAUGUGGCACUCCUCCAUGGACAUAUUUGCACUGGGGCUCCCCUUUGAACUGGCUGAGACGUUGUCAGAGCUACAUCAUCAUCUGAGGCUCCUCUCUACCCAAUCCUCCUUUCUUCCCCCUCUCUUUCACAAAUGUCAGACCUGCUUUGCAGUUUGAAGCCUUACCCUGCCCUCUCCUGCCCCAUUUAUU
rnacentral:lncRNA from 1 species